rnacentral:rRNA from 1 species
AUUGAACGCUGGCGGCAGGCCUAACACAUGCAAGUCGAACGAGUGGCGGACGGGUGAGUAAUGUCUGGGAACCUGCCUGAUGGAGGGGGAUCACUACUGGAAACGGUCGCUAAUACCGCAUACCAUCAGAUGUGCCCAGAUGGGAUUGGCUUGUUGGUGGGGUAACGGCUCACCAAGUCGACGAUCCCUAGCUGGUCUGAGAGGAUGACAAGCCACACUGGAACUGAGACACGGUCCAGACUCCUACGGGAGGCAGCAGUGGGGAAUAUUGCACAAUGGGCGCAAGCCUGAUGCAGCCAUGCCGCGUGUAUGAAGAAGGCCUUCGGGUUGUAAAGUACUUUCAGCGAGGAGGCGUUACCCGCAGAAGAAGCACCGGCUAACUCCGUGCCAGCCGCCGCGGUAAUAC